rnacentral:piRNA from 1 species
UAGCACUUGCAUAUGUUUUUGUUCAG